rnacentral:rRNA from 1 species
UAUGCCGCGUGCAGGAAGACUGCCCUAUGGGUUGUAAACUGCUUUUAUAUAGGAAGAAACCUACUUACGUGUAAGUAGCUGACGGUACUAUAAGAAUAAGGAUCGGCUAACUCCGUGCCAGCAGCCGCGGUAAUACGGAGGAUCCAAGCGUUAUCCGGAAUCAUUGGGUUUAAAGGGUCCGUAGGUGGAUAAUUAAGUCAGAGGUGAAAUCUUGCAGCUCAACUGUAAAAUUGCCUUUGAUACUGGUUAUCUUGAGUUAUUACGAAGUAGUUAGAAUAUGUAGUGUAGCGGUGAAAUGCAUAGAUAUUACAUAGAAUACCAAUUGCGAAGGCAGAUUACUAAUAAUCAACUGACACUGAUGGACGAAAGCGUGGGUAGCGAACAGGAUUAGAUACCCUGGUAGUCCACGCCGUAAACGAUGGUUACUAGCUGUUUGGACCUUGUGUCUGAGUGGCUAAGCGAAGGUGAUAAGUAACCCACCUGGGGAGUACGUUCGCAAGAAUGAAACUCAAAGGAAUUGACGGGGGCCCGCACAAGCGGUGGAGCAUGUGGUUUAAUUCGAUGAUACGCGAGGAACCUUACCAGGGCUUAAAUGUAAGUUGCAUUAGUUAGAGAUAGCGUUUUCUUCGGACAGAUUACAAGGUGCUGCAUGGUUGUCGUCAGCUCGUGCCGUGAGGUGUCAGGUUAAGUCCUAUAACGAGCGCAACCCCUGUUGUUAGUUGCCAGCGAGUAAUGUCGGGAACUCUAACAAGACUGCCGGUGCAAACCGUGAGGAAGGUGGGGAUGACGUCAAAUCAUCACGGCCCUUACGUCCUGGGCCACACACGUGCUACAAUGGCCGGUACAGAGAGCAGCCACUACGCGAGUAGGAGCGAAUCUUCAAAACCGGUCUCAGUUCGGAUCGGAGUCUGCAACUCGACUCCGUGAAGCUGGAAUCGCUAGUAAU